rnacentral:lncRNA from 1 species
AGUGUCUAUAGGUCUCUUAAGGUGUUGCUAUCUAAGGUGAACUCCUCAAAGCUGAAUAUUUUCCAUUGACGUCACGUUGGUGUGAAACCUGUUUACCUCGAUGCUAGACCCUCCUCUUCCUGUCACAACAUGGGUUUCAGAGAAAAGGACCACGAGCUGAAAACUUUCCAUUCAAUUGAACCAAUCGCUGCUCGUAUGUCCUUUCAUGGUAAAGUACAUCUAGUCAUGAACACAGAAAUACGCAGAAAAGACCUUGUUACUCAAAGACCCAGCUACUCUCUGACAGUCACCAUCAGACCAUCAGACCACCAGAUGGACAGGCUGUGUGUUUCUCUGAUUGCAUUCUUAUGUGCUGUUUCCGCCAGUCAGGAUGGGAUCUCUGCAGCAGAGGUGGAGCUGAGAGUCAGACCAGGAGACAGUGGUCAAUCAAUCAGUCAAACCUUCAUUCCAAUACUCUUCUGCAACUGAGACCACGACCAGGGGAAGUGAGAGAAAGGAGAAAG